UAAACUUUGCUGCUGUCGUUCACGCAGAGGCCCCACAAUCAUCAGCCACCAACGCCCACAUCCCUCGUUCCCUUACUGACUCAUACUUACCUGACACGGCGUUGGGCCUGUACUUGGAAGCAUCUUCGGAUUCGGAUCCUUCUAAGUACUUGGUCACCUCCUCAAUGUAUCUGACCCAAAGCGAAAUCCUCAGGUAUUCGGCCGACAGAGGCAUUACUUCUGCAGCUGCCUCCACCGCUUCGCAUUUGGCGCCAUGGACUCCACCGCCCGGUGUCGAUGUUUCUACUGCCGUUGAACCCCUCCUCGCCGGCAUCAAGCGUUCUAAUGAAGCUUGGUAUUCUACCAAAUCUUUAGCGAAGCGUUCUAGAUUCGAGAGCGCAAGCAAUUUGCCUAUGUAUCCACAGAGGCCAGGAGAGAAGGACUGUGCCUACUAUAUGCUCACAAGAACCUGUAAAUUUGGAGAUAGCUGCAAGUUUGACCAUCCUAUUUGGGUUCCUGAGGGUGGAAUCCCAAAUUGGACAGAGGUCCCCAUUGCUACCAUUGAAUCCCUUCCUGAGAGACUAGGUCAGCCUGAUUGUCCUUUUCAGGAUGGUUUGGAAAACACCGAUGUUUCUGCCUUACCAGAGAGGCCUUCUGAACCACAAUGUGCAUUCUAUAUGAAGACUGGGAAAUGCAAGUUUGGAGUAACAUGCAAAUUUCAUCAUCCGAAAGAUAUCCAGAUCCUAUUGGGACAAGAAAAUGGUAAUGCUGUGCAGACUGAAUCAGCAGUUAAGAUGGAUGAAGUAACUGGAGCUGGACAUGUCAGUGUGGUUAAUUCCAUCUCGUUUGACCCAGCCUCAUUUCAUAAUUCCAAAGGACUUCCAAUCAGACCGGGUGAACUGGAUUGUCCGUUCUACCUGAAAACUGGCAGUUGCAAGUAUGGUGCCACUUGUCGUUAUAAUCAUCCUCAUAGGAAUGGUAUGUGCACUCUGAUGCUUUUUGUUUGAGACUUGACAUUCUGAAUUCUAUUGUCUUCAGAACUCAUCCUUCAACACUUGUGCUUCAAAUUUUAUUGCUUAUGUCCUCCUUGCCCUUCUAUCCAUUGUUUGAUUUUUACAACCUUUUAGACGAGUAUAAUUGCUGAUAUUUUGCAGCAAUCAAUCCACCUGCUGCUGCUAUAGGGCAUUCCAUUGUAGCCACUCCUGCAGCUAAUCUGAACAUUGGGGUUGUUCCAGCUGCCUCAAUUUUUCAAACUCUUGACCCUAGAUUGGCGCAUUCAACGGUAAAUAAGACAUCAUAAGAAUAUACCUUUUUCAAUUGGUUCUGUUUCUUUGAAAGAACCAUAUUUCUUGUGUGAAUGUAUGUGUGUGCAAUACACAGUGUGCACUAUGCAUGUGUGGGUGCUGGUGAAUAUAUGAGUCAACAGGAAUAAGAACCAUAACAAGUGGUUGGGGAUGGGGAGGGAGGUCAGGGGCUAUUGUUGAGGGCAUUUAGCUUAAAGUUCAUGAAUUAUGAUUGCAGUUAAAAGGGUGUUCUUUCGCAUGUAUUCUCAUAUUUUAGCGAGAAAAGUAGCCUCAAGUGAGGCUAACGUGGUAGGGGAUGGUGUUUGGCGUAAAGUUAACGAUGACGGUUACCUUGCAAUAAUAACUGUUGUGUGCUUGACAGCUUUUUGGCUUCUAUUCGCUUAACAAAAGGGUAAAUUACUAUUUUGUCUCUAAUUUUUGCCAUUAUUAAUACUUUUGUUCAUUUAUUUUGGAAAAUAGAUUAUUACCAAUAUGUCUCUUAAGAUUUGGUUCCUUUUAAUAAAUUGGCCCUCUGUCCAUUUUUCCAUUUCUUUGAUAAUUUAAAAUGGUUUAUAGAGAAGCCAGCCCCUAGCUCUUUUCAUGUCUUUGUAGGAUCAGGAGCAAUGUGCAAUUCUUCCAGCGCUUGUGCUAUAUAAUAGAUUCUUAGGGGUAGAAAUCAUGAAAGCACUGAUGGUUUAUUGUCAUAGAAUGCUUCUCUGCCAUGGACAAGAAGCUCACUUUUGAUUCCUGGCUAUACACAAUUUUUUUUUCUUCUUUUU
rnacentral:misc_RNA from 1 species